GGGGAUGUAGCUCAGUGGUAGAGCACUUGCCUAGCAUGCAUGAGGCACUGGGUUCUAUCCUUA
rnacentral:tRNA from 1 species